CUACGGGAGGCUGCAGCUGAGGAUCUUUUACAAUGCACGAAAGUGUGAUAGAGCGAGCCAGAGUGUUGUUCUUAGAACAAUUUUUAUCUGCUGUAAAAAGGCAGAUGAAUAAGGACUGGGCAAGACCGGUGCCAGCCGCCGCGGUAAUACCGGCGGUCCAAGUUGCAUCCAUUUUUAUUGGGUCUAAAACAUCCGUAGCUUGCUUUGUAAGUUUCUUGUGAAAUCUCAUGUCUCAAACAUGAGGCUUGCAAGAAAUACUGCAUAGCUAGAGACCGGAAGACGUAAGGAGUAUGAUUGAGGUAGCGGUAAAAUGUGUUAAUCUUGAUCAGACUAACAACGGCGAAGGCACCUUACGAGUACGGAUCUGACAGUGAGGGAUGAAGGCCAGGGGCGCAAAACGGAUUAGAUACCCCCGUAGUC
rnacentral:rRNA from 1 species